AGCCAAUGAAGAUGUCUACUGACUUUUAUCACAAAUGAGAAGAGGUCAUUUGAGAUUUCAACUAAAUAUCCUCCGUCAAUAUUUUGAAAGUAAAUACAUGCAAGGAGUCAUCAAAUUACACCUCAAAAGCCAAGAAAUAUUAACAUUUUCCCAGUCCAAGAGAGGCAUAAAGUUGCAAAAGUGGAAGAACGCCAACAGUUAUCUGGAUCGUUGCAUCCAUGCAGACGUCCAUGUCCCAGCCAAGAGAUGGUUGUUGAUCACUAAAGCAUUAAGUCUAUCAAACUAAUCUCUUUCAACCAAAUAACUUCAAUCUGCACUCAAAGGACUGAAGAAUUAACCGAACUGGCAGAAAAUUCAAAAGACCAGCAUUCACCACUGACAACUACUAUCCCCAGUUUGAUAGACCAUGCCUGAAGGCUGAAGCAUAUCGCUUUUAGGACUAUGUCAGCCCCUUCUAAGCGAGCUUCUACUUUUAUCUCCAUCCUCCCCAAUGGUUUUUGUCUUUGCUUUUGGCUAAUAAUGUUUGGUCUGUUAUUCCAAAAAAUUCUUAAUUGCAUCAGCACAAGCAGCACUUAAAAUACCCGAAAGUUUAUACAUUCUGAAACUGAAACCUAGAAAAAAAAAAUACUUGUCCUAUUGACCAAACAUGCAAAAAAAGAAGAAAAAAAAGGGGGAAGAGGAGGGGAACCUUUUGGCCAAGAAUUUUUCAGCAUAAGAAAGCAUAAACAACAGAAUCUCAAUAAACUUAAUAUCUUCAGCAGGUCUGCUCCAGAGUUCUUUAAAUUAAAGUGUUUUGAGUAGAUUAUAGGAGGAGAAAAUGGAUGCCAAAGUGUUUCCAGACAAAUCAGAUGAGUGUCAGGCAUGUGCACAAGUCCAACACUACAUAACUCUCAUUGGCGGCAUGUAAGCGAUUUAUAAAUGAUACACCGUUAUUAACUGAUCUUCAUGUUCCUUGAGUCAUAUUGUAGAGGAAAUGUAAAAGAGAUUAUAUCAAAUACUAAAGAUUGAAAAAUCAGCACAAAUCACAAGUAAUUCUACAUUUCGACACAAAUAUUUCACAAGAAACUCCAAUUGUGCGCAAAAAGAAUACCUCUUCACUCUGCAAAAAGCUUUUUGGAUAUCUGUGGAUCAUCAAGAAGUUGAUAUAUGGCAUCUCUAAGCUUGCAAUAAUCCUCAAACGUAUUAUAGACCUGAUGAGAAAUCCUUGCAUAGGCCAUUAUGAACCCAUCCUUAUCCUUCACAGCCGCCUCACCAUUUUUUCUAGGUGCCUGAUAAUGAAUUGGAACCUCAACCCCAUAAUUCGAACGCAAAUGCGACCUUAACCUCAAAGCAUCAUCUUGACUCAUUACACGCAAUCUUGAAGGCAAGCUUACCAUAAUCAUGCCUGCACACAUCUCCGGCGGGGCCCCUAGAUUUGUUCCCCAUGACUCUGCUAACAUUUUCCCCACCUCAACAAUCUUCUCAUGGUUCCUAUUCAUUAUUCCAUCAAGUCCUCCUUCAAAUCGAUUAACAAACUCCAAAGCAGAUGGUACUACUAGUUGAGAACUGUAAUCCCUUGUCCCAAUCCACGCACUCUCAAUUGGCAAUCCAUUCCCAUAUUCAUGUGAAACCACGGGGUGAUGCACAUCAGAGGAGGAGCUGGUUUUUUUACAAUACAAAAAUGCAACUGAUGGCGGGCAGAAAAACCAUUUGUGCAAAUUGCUAGCGUAGAAAUCAGCCCCAAUUUCUUUAACAUCUACUUUAACACUACCCAGAGCGUGAGCUGCAUCAACAAAAACCUGGUCCACGCCUUCUUCUCUACAAAUUUUAACCAAUUCCCGGACUGGAGUGACGACACACGGCAUUGAUGUGAUGUGAUCGAUUAUUGCUAACCUAACUUUUCUACCACUAGACUUACCUUUCUCUAGCCCUUUCCUAAACUCAGCGAUAAUUUCUUCAUCGGAGUUAACAGGAAAUGGAAGCUGAACUUCUAUUACUGAUCCACCGGUACGCGUGACAUACGCUUGCAUAGAUUUUUUUACGGCUUCAUAGGCGCAGUGAAGCAUCAAGACGGCGUCGUUCUUAUGGAAUUUACCAUCGGCGAAGGAACGGCCUAUCUGCUGGAGGACGAUGGCAGCGGCGGUGGUGGCAUUGUCGACGAGGGAGACCUCGUCCACAUCAUCGGCAUUAAUGAGGUCUUUAACUAGUGUCCGCGAAUCAAGAAUCCCCUUGCGGAGCGUAUUGAAGUAGAAAUCGUCCGGUUGCUGAAGGAAUUUGAGUUGCCACUUCCUCUGGGCGGCAAGCACCGAUCCGGGGCAGCUCCCGAAGCUCCCGUUGUUGAUUCGGGCUAUGCCAGACUGAUGGUGUGCGAACUCUUCUCGGAUUUCGGAUUCGGUUAUGAAACGAGUGAGCCGGGGCUUCUUGGUGAGUUGGUGGUGGUGAGCCGACUCACCGUUUGAAGGAUCUUUGUUUUCCAUUGGGGUGAGUUAGGGUUUGGGAAGAAGAUUGGGCAUGAUCUGAAAGACUGCUCAAAACUUGGAACUGUGGCUCACUGUGUGCUUAGCAUCAGAGGACCGAAGGGUGAAAUGUGUCGUGAUCCAGUUAGAAAUGGUAUGGCCAGGGAUGUGAAGAAAACGCUGUCGUUUGAUUUUUGGAUAUUAGUGUCGUGUUGGCAUUUUGCAAAGGGAUGAUGAUCACGUGAUUCCCGUUACCAGAGAAGGAUAGAUAAACAACUUGGGCCAAGAGCUUCGGAUUCAAGGAUUCUCAACGGAUGUAGCCUGCCCGGAGCGGAGCGGUGUGAGUACCUGAAUUAGGGUUAUGAUUUAACUAUUUGAUAUAAUUAAUAAUUAUUAAUUUAUUCUCUCCCGAGAUAGUAG
rnacentral:misc_RNA from 1 species